rnacentral:rRNA from 1 species
GAUGAACGCUAGCGGGAGGCCUAACACAUGCAAGCCGAGCGGGAUUUGUUGGUUAGCUUGCUAACUAACAAUGAGAGCGGCGUACGGGUGCGUAGCACGUGUGCAACCUGCCUUUAUCUGGGGGAUAGCCUUUCGAAAGGAAGAUUAAUACCCCAUAACAUAUUGAUUGGCAUCAGUUAAUAUUGAAAGCUCCGGCGGAUAGAGAUGGGCACGCGUAAGAUUAGCUAGUUGGUGAGGUAACGGCUCACCAAGGCUGCGAUCUUUAGGGGGCCUGAGAGGGGGAUCCCCCACACUGGUACUGAGACACGGACCAGACUCCUACGGGAGGCAGCAGUGAGGAAGAUUGGACAAUGGGUGAGAGCCUGAUCCAGCCAUCCCGCGUGAAGGACUAAGGACCUAUGGUUUGUAAACUUCUUUUAUACAGGGAUAAACCUACUCUCGUGAGGGUAGCUGAAGGUACUGUAUGAAUAAGCACCGGCUAACUCCGUG